UACGUAGGGGGCAAGCGUUGUCCGGAUUUAUUGGGCGUAAAGAGCGUGUAGGCGGCUUUACAGGUCCGUUGUGAAAACUCGAGGCUCAACCUCGAGACGCCGGUGGAAACCGUAAAGCUAGAGUCCGGAAGAGGAGAGUGGAAUUCCUGGUGUAGCGGUGAAAUGCGCAGAUAUCAGGAAGAACACCCGUGGCGAAGGCGGCUCUCUGGGCAGUAACUGACGCUGAGGAGCGAAAGCGUGGGGAGCGAACAGG
rnacentral:rRNA from 1 species